AUCCAGGCCUACAAGUUCUGGAGUCACUUAAUUAAAGCAAAGGCGCCCAUUUCAGGAAAAGCACAGGUUUCUAGUCUUUGACAAUUACAGCCAGUGAUUGCAGGUGUCAGUCAGCUGGAUGAGAGGUUAUUUUAGAAGCCACCCGAUCAUGCCUGAGUGUUUAUGAGCAAUGCAUAAAAUAUUCCAUAUGUACACCGCACUGGACAUGCGAAUUCGUGCUUGGAGUGCUGCUUCUUGUGGAAGGGGGACCUCAGACGCGUCCAGAAGGAGUGGUGGCGCCUGGCCUUCCUCUCGCCCCCCCGGGCGGCCUCCGCCUCCCGCUGCCGAAUCUGCCGCACCAGGGCGGCGAACACCUCGUCGAUGUAGUAGCGGAAGGCCGCCGACGUCUCGAAGAAGGGGCACUGGAACUCCCGCGCCAGCCCCCGGCCCUCCUCCACUGACACCUGGUGGACGGGAGGACUCGCUGCAGAAGUACGAGGAGGAAGGGAGGGGAGGAGAUGAGCGGAGGAAUCGGAGAACAAGGAGGCGUGAAGAAAACUGGGACAGCUUAUCUGCUUCUCCGUCAUCAAACGUCCGACGUCAAUUAUUGAUGAAAGAGCUCUAUCGUAAGCGUCAUCUUUUUGACGAGUCCAAAAACAGUCCAAUAGCCAAUCACAUAUCUUACAUGUGGUCAGCCUAUUGAAAGCUGCAAAACGGCUCGUAAGUUUCAAGCACAAGUGUUUGCAUGUACAGCAGCCUGUACCAUUACGAACCUGACAUUGCGGUUGAUGUUGAGAUACUAAUUAACAUGUACUCAGCAACAUUAGAUCAAAGUUGACAAUAACGUGGUAUACAAACCAAGCAAUGUGCACAAUGUCUGAACAUACACUAGAGCACUAAUUCACUUCACACAGACCUAUUGUAGCAAUACUGUGACAGUCUACAUUCUAUUGUCAGUUAAUUACACCUCAGCUAGGCUAAUUCAGAAACUGUUCUGUACAUUAUUGAAAUGGAUGAGUCACGUUAUAUUAUUGUUUCCCCAUGUUCAGUAUUCACAUUGAAAAACAAUUUAUUUGCCACUGUAACAUCUGAAAUCAAAUUUGUUGGUAAUAAAUGCAUCCUUGGAAA